rnacentral:rRNA from 1 species
AUUGGACAAUGGGGGCAACCCUGAUCCAGCCAUGCCGCGUCUGUGAAGAAGGUCUUCGGCUUGUAAAGCACUGUAAGUUGGUAGGAGGGGCUUUAGAUUCAUACCCUGAAGUUUUGACGUUACCAACAGAAUAAGCACCGGCUAACUCUGUGCCAGCAGCCGCGGUAAUACAGAGGGUGCAAGCGUUAAUCGGAAUUACUGGGCGUAAAGCGCGCGUAGGUGGUUCAGUAAGAUGGGUGUGAAAUCCCCGGGCUUAACCUGGGAACUGCCUUCAUAACUGCUGAGCUAGAGUACGGUAGAGGGUAGUGGAAUUUCCUGUGUAGCGGUGAAAUGCGUAGAUAUAGGAAGGAACACCAGUGGCGAAGGCGACUACCUGGACUGUUACUGACACUGAGGUGCGAAAGCGUGGGGAGCAAAC